UGCGAGCCCAGAAGGAGAGCUGCCAUUUUUACAGCCCCUGCUUUGGGAACUGUGGAAGGAGCAGAGGUGCAGGUAGCUCCAGACCCAGUCGUGGUGUUGCAUUCUCACCUCCAAAUCCUUUUCUGAUGUUUAGGCCACUAAAAUAAAGAGGAAAAGAGUGAUGUGAUUGCUUGUGGGACCAAAUGAGAAAAGCUUUGUACCUUUUAACUCUUUUUCCUCUCAGUCCGCUUCUUGCUGUAUCAAGAUGCAUACCACUCUUUGUCUCUGCGUGAAGAUCUCAGCAGUGUGAGCCUGCAGAACUGGAGGUUUCCAUCUCCCAGGGAGUUAUUUUCUGUAAUUCAGACACAAAAUCAAGUUAAUGCUCCUGGAGAAAUAUAUGUCUGUGUCCUUUUCCCCUGGUUCUCCUGGGGUGAAUGAAUGGUCCCUGCCACGCUCUCUACUUCCUGCCCUCACUCUGAAGAACUGUCUUCCAUUUAAGCAGAAGAAAGCUAUAAAGAAAGAACUUUUGCAUACAGCAAGUGCUCUUCCUGAUUGUGUUGUUGUCUGCAUUUGGCAGAAGGGGCAUGGUGGCAGUUUACCUGAUACUCGCAGAAGAUCAGUGGCCAACCAGGAGUGGACCCAGCAUGGCUCUAUUGGACCAUGUGUUUCCCUGCUUGAACCCUGAAAAGAACAGGAGGUGAGCAAUGAAUGGAAAAUAAAGCAAGAAGAAAGACACAGACAGGCACAACUGAGAGAACAAGUGAUGGUGAGAAACAACUUGGAUGAUGAAUUCUAAGUUGGGCUGUAAAAUAGAACCACUGGGAAGUGCUUAAAGGAAAGGGAUGGAGAAGAGCUUGGAAAAUGGCUUUUAGCUGCUCUGCUAUUGGAAAUACUUCCAGCUAAAAUGCAAAGUUGAAGGUUGUAAUUUAUUAUUUUUUUUUACUGCUCAUGGGAUGUGAGAGAUCUGUCAGCACAUUAAUGGCUCAGGCAUCUCCACCUGUCUUAAUGGGAUGUGGAUGUUUAGCUGUAGAUCAAGCUGUGACGUGGCUGUAAAAUUCCCCCAUCUUGUCCAGCCUACCAUAGUGUUGAUGGGGUGUGAGGCACAGAGGAGAUGCUCAGUGGCAGAUGAGGAUGCCAUGAAAGCCCAAGGCCAGUUGUAGUACUGGCAAGGCUGGCUCUGAAGUAUAGGGUGUGACAUGAAGAAUUCCAAGUGUUUUCCCCAAAACCCAACAAAGCUUUCUGAGUGUGGUGCACGCCUUCAGCCCCGGCCACCUACAGUGAUGGAGAAGACCCCCUGCCCCUAUACACCCCCAAAAUACCAUAUCUGCUAGGCAGCCCUGAGCUGUGUGCAUCCCUUCCCCCACUCUCACGGGGAAGAUGAAAAAUCCUUGUCUGGUUUCCUUA